AAUAGAUAAGGAGUAGUCCUAUGUAAUUUAUAAAACUGAGUGCUGAACACCAUGAUCAUGGCAGCAUGAAUAAUGAAAAAAGAUUUUUAUAAGAUUUUACAUAAUGAACUCAAGUUGAAUAAAUCUUAUAUAUGUCAGAUAAUAAGAUUUAAUGAGUUUUCUAUAAUCUCUAUCUUGUCAGAACUCAUGAUAGAAGAACUGUGUCAUACGGUAACUACACUU
rnacentral:lncRNA from 1 species